CCGGCGGUGGCCCGCGCGUUCGCGGCGGACGUCGCCGCGGGCGGCGGCGAGGUCAGGCUCGGCUUCGAGGUCGUGCGGAUCGGCCGGGCGGGC
rnacentral:tRNA from 1 species